GAUGAACGCUAGCGGCAGGCCUAAUACAUGCAAGUCGGACGGGAUUCAGGAGCUUGCUUCUGAUGAGAGUGGCGCACGGGUGCGUAACACGUAUGUAACCUACCUUUAUCAGGGGGAUAGCCUCUCGAAAGAGAGAUUAAGCCCGCAUAAAAUCACAGCACAGCAUUGUGUAAUGAUCAAAUAUUUAUAGGAUAAAGAUGGGCAUGCGGAACAUUAGCUAGAUGGCGGGGUAACGGCCCACCAUGGCGACGAUGUUUAGGGGAUCUGAGAGGAUGGCCCCCCACACUGGUACUGAGACACGGACCAGACUCCUACGGGAGGCAGCAGUAAGGAAUAUUGGUCAAUGGGCGGAAGCCUGAACCAGCCAUGCCGCGUGCAGGAAGACGGCCCUACGGGUUGUAAACUGCCUUUAUACGGGAAUAAACCCAGAUACGUGUAUCUGGCUGAAUGUACUGUAAGAAUAAGGAUCGGCUAACUCCGUG
rnacentral:rRNA from 1 species